rnacentral:rRNA from 1 species
UACGAAGGGGGCUAGCGUUGCUCGGAAUUACUGGGCGUAAAGGGAGCGUAGGCGGACAGUUUAGUCAGAGGUGAAAGCCCAGAGCUCAACUCUGGAACUGCCUUUGAUACUGGGUGUCUUGAGUAUGGAAGAGGUGAGUGGAAUUCCGAGUGUAGAGGUGAAAUUCGUAGAUAUUCGGAGGAACACCAGUGGCGAAGGCGGCUCACUGGUCCAUUACUGACGCUGAGGUGCGAAAGCGUGGGGAGCAAACAGG